rnacentral:rRNA from 1 species
CCUACGGGUCGCAGCAGUGGGGAAUAUUGCACAAUGGGCGCAAGCCUGAUGCAGCCAUGCCGCGUGUAUGAAGAAGGCCUUCGGGUUGUAAAGCACUUUCGACGGGGACGAUGAUGACGGUACCCGUAGAAAAAGCCCCGGCUAACUUCGUGCCAGCAGCCGCGGUAAUACGAAGGGGGCUAGCGUUGCUCGGAAUGACUGGGCGUAAAGGGCGCGUAGGCGGUUUAUGCAGUCAGAUGUGAAAUCCCCGGGCUUAACCUGGGAACUGCAUUUGAGACGCAUAGACUAGAGGUCGAGAGAGGGUUGUGGAAUUCCCAGUGUAGAGGUGAAAUUCGUAGAUAUUGGGCAGAACACCGGUGGCGAAGGCGGCAACCUGGCUCGAUACUGACGCUGAGGCGCGAAAGCGUGGGAGCAAACAGGAUUAGAUACCCGAGUAGUC